rnacentral:snRNA from 1 species
UGGAAACGGCUCAGCCGGAG